CCUUCUCCAAUUCACUCAUUUUUAUCUGUAUUACAGUAGGUAAAAAACUCUAGCAUUCUUGAUUACUUUUCAAGUCUUUACUACUUGCGAUCCCAGCAAUGAUUAUUAGGAGCAAUGAUGAAAUAAACCCGAGUUAUGAUUCUUUGUACGAGGCAGAUUAUUUUACCAUUAAAAUAACACACGGUGGUUUAAUGAAACUCAAGCCUACAAGGCAUUAUAUUGGGGGCAGAAUGAACUUUAUUGACUAUGUCAAUGGGGCUGAACUAAAGUUGUCGAUAUUCAAAUCUAUGGCUGAAUUAUGCGGUUAUGGGAAUGACUCAGUAACUUUUUGGCACAAGCCCGAGAGUCUAGGUGACAAAAUGAGGCUAGUUUCAACUGAUAAGGAAGUCGUCGUUGUUGCAAAAAAUAUACUGAUCGGGUAGUUGAUGUGUACUUUGAACAUUUGAAUGGUCUAGAUCUCACUUUUCUGAAAAUGCAAAAUCUGAUAUCCUACUUAAUAACAUGUGUGAAUGUUUUAAUGGAAUGAUCCUCGAAGCUAGAGACAAGCCAAUAAUCACUCUAUAGGAAAAGAUAAGGUAUUUACUUAUGGCUAGAAUGCAGGCAAAUAGAGAUAAAGCUGCCAGGUGGGAUAUUGGUGAUAUAUGUCCUAGGAUUAAGGAUAUAUUGCAUAAAAAUGAGGCGGGUGCUGCGGAGUUCAUUCCUAGAAAAUCUAAUGAGUGGAACUACGAGAUUAUAGGGGCAAGCAUACAUGAUAAGUGGGCUGUGGACUUGCUAAACAAAAUAUGCAGUUGUAGGAAAUGGGAUCUGACAGGAAUUCCUUGCAAGCAUGCCAUUUCUGCAAUUUGGGCUAAAAAAGAUGAGAUUAAUUCCUAUGUUCAUGAUUGCUACAAGGUGGAAACAUAUAGAAGGGUCUAUGACUUUGCUAUUCUUCCUAUGAAUGGUCAGCAUAUGUGGCCUAAGUCCAGCAACGUGCCUCCUUUGCCUCCACAACUAGUAAGAACAAGCACAAAAGGAAGAAAGCAAAAACUAAGGAGAAAAGAAACAGAUGAAGUAGGAGCAAGUAGAACUAAAAUGAAAAGAAAGUAGAAUUCCUUGCUUUGUAGCUUAUGUAAUAAUGCUGUCCACAAUAAAAGAACAUGCAAAUUUAAUAUUGUUCAGCCAGAUUCCCAAGUUGAUGAGCCUUCAUCUUAUGCUCCUGCCUCGUCAACUCGUGCAAAGCUUCCGGUAAGAAGAGGACAUGUGGCGCAUGAACAUAUGCAAUGUGCUCAAGAAUUUGAUUCUUAACAUGACUGAAGUUCUGAUAUUGUUGCUGCUGAAAUAUUGAUAUUUUGUUGUUGAAAUGGUGAUAUUUUGCUGUUGAAAUGCUGGAAUGAGUACUUUUGCCGCUGAAAUGCCGAACUUUUGCUGUUGAUAUGCUGAUUUUCGCUGCUGAAAAUACUGUUUUUCGCUGCUGAAAUGCUGAUAUUUUUGCUGUUGAAAUGCUGGAAUGCUGUAUUUUCCCCGCUGAAAUACUGAUUUUUGUUGCUGAAAUGCUGAUUUUUGCUGCUGAAAUACUGAUUUUGCUGCUGAAAAGCUGAUUUUGGCUGCUGAAAUGCUGAUAGCUUUGCACUUUGAAUGCUUUUUUACUGCUGGAAUGCUCGUUUUGUAGCUGAAAUGCUGAUUUUGGGUGCUGAAAUGCUGAUAGCUUUGAACUUUGAAUGCUUUUUUACUUAUAGAAUGUUGAUUUUAGCUGUUGGAGUGCUGAUUUUUGCUGCUGAAGUGCUGAUACCUUUGCAGUUUGAAGGCUUUUUUAUCAUUGAAAUGUUGUCGAUGAUGAAGAUUAUUUUUGCUGUUGCAAAGAUUUAUUUUUCUUCUGCUAGAUACUUCAAUUAUGCUGAAUCUGUUUCUUUUCUUCCUUUUUUUAUAAAGAACAUCCUGUUAGUUUUUUAACUGAAGUUAUUUUAGGUUGCUGUUAGUAGGAAUUUUUAAACUGAAGUUAUAAUUUUCUGUUAGUGAGACUAAAAGUGCUCAAGUUUUAUAAACUUAAAGGACAAAUAGUGUUAAGGGUUAUAUUUAGAGGACAAAGUUAAGCCUACCCCUAAAGAUAAGAGAUAAUUUUGGCUAAAACCUCGCAGUAUGCCACUGACAAGGCAAGGCACAGAUGGAUCUGGUCGGGUCAGUAUAUCAUUUGCCUUUAAAAUUUUAUAAUGGGCUGGGCUGGGUCAAAAUAAAAGGCUUUAGUCUAGUCUAGGUUUUCAGCUCCAUAGUCCAUAUACGCAGUCUCUGUUGGCCAGGGAAUUUUCUUCCCAAAGCCAUCACUGAGCCAUCGAGAGAAAUCAUUGCCCGAAGAGGAUCGACAGGAAACAAUAUUGGAUCUUUGGAGAUGCGAACAUUAGCAGUGUCCUUGUUGUGGCUGCAAAGUUUGGAUAGGGCUAAGAAUGGCCUCCACUAAACCAGGCCAGCUUGCUGAGCUUGAAAUGCUAAAAUCUAAGGGCCUCAACAUGAUGCCCAACCAAUAUGUUAAUUUCAAUAGAGAUUGAUGAAGCUGAGUUGACUUUUAAAAAAUUGGAAAUAUUUAUGCAGAUGUGGACGAGGGAAAACUGUUGUGAUCGCAUGAGUUUAUUUGAUAAAGUUUGAUAAUGAUUUGAUGGAAUUCCUUGUUUUGCGGGAGCAACAGUCGUCCAAUUUACGUCCCAAAUAUUCUAAUGUAUCAACUUAUCAACUCAGACAAAUAUGUGAUUUGCUUCGCCUGCACCGAAUCAUCAUUAAAUUCACUUCUUUGUCUGAGUUGAUAAAGAUGAUCCUUGAGACAUGUAUACUCCGUGAAAGAUUUCUCAAGAUGGUCCCCAUUGCAUCGAUGGCUUCUAAACAAGGGAUUUCCAUCAAUCCAUUUUCAAACUUGAUAUCGAAUAAACUUGUGCGAUAACCGACAGUUUUCUUUUUCCAAAUUUGUAUAAAUGUUUGAUUUUUGAGAAGUUAACUCCAGCUUCAUCAAGCUCUCUUGAACUUUGAACAUGACGAUAUGUUGAGUUCCUUAGUUUUUGUCAUCUCUUUUGAUGUAAACAUCUGCAAACGAUUACUUUACUUGCAACAGGCUAUCCGUGCUCACCACCACAUGAGAAAGCUCAGCUCACCAACUGACUCGUCAGUAUAAGACUAAAAAAUGUACGUACAAGUGACUACUGAAAGAGUAACACAAGAAAUAAAAGAGGGGGCUAUGAUGCCAUAAAAGUUAUCCAAAUCUUUCUGCUGUGUACUUGACAUCAAAGGUAUAUUGAUCACAGGGGCUUACAUUACUCUCUUGAAUUUCUGAUUUUUUUGUUCUGUACAUGGUGAUAUAAUUCAUCAAUGAGCAUGAAAAAGAUACAAUCAAACAUAUGAUUACUGCUACGUUAUCGUGCCAAAAGAGUUUCAUUCACAGGGAUUUAUAUAAGUCACUGAGGAUCCAAAAGAUAUGGUAUUAAUUGUUAGAAUGGCUCUAAGUUGGAAGACCUGCAUAAAUUAUUUUGGCUAGCUCACAUUGUCUAUAUGUUUUUUCAAUAUAUUUUGCAUAUACUGUUGAUGAAAUUUGUGCCAUUGUGUAUAUUUGUUACGCCAGAUUUUAAUAUUCUAUGUUUUGUUCAUACUGAAAGACAAUUAUCUUCAAGAAAGACAAUUACUAUGAGGCAAGCCAAAGGAAAUAAAAAAUGAACUGCAGUAGGUCCAGCGUGAUGUUGAUCCUGAAGGCUAUUUGGUGUUGAAUCUUGGUUCUUUCAAAAUAAUUUUAUGUCUACCUAAUCAAGUUUGGUAAUCUAAUAGGAUGUUUACCUAAUCAAGUUUAGUAGUCUAUUAGUAAGAA